rnacentral:rRNA from 1 species
UACGAAGGGGGCUAGCGUUGCUCGGAAUCACUGGGCGUAAAGCGCACGUAGGCGGGUUCUUAAGUCAGGGGUGAAAUCCUGGAGCUCAACUCCAGAACUGCCUUUGAUACUGGGAAUCUCGAGUCCGGGAGAGGUGAGUGGAACUGCGAGUGUAGAGGUGAAAUUCGUAGAUAUUCGGAAGAACACCAGUGGCGAAGGCGGCUCACUGGACCGGUAUUGACGCUGAGGCGCGAAAGCGUGGGGAGCAAACAGG